UCACGCUGGUCUCAAACUCCUGGGCUCAAGUGAUCCACCUACCUCAGCCUCCCGAAGUGCUGGGAUUACAGGUGUGAGCCACCUCGUCUGCCCAAAAAGUUCUAAUGUUUAAUAGCAGACUACGGUGACUAUACUUAGCUACAAUAUUUUGUUAUUUUAAAGUAUCUAAAAGAGAGGACUUGAAAUGAUACCAACACAUAGAAAUGAUAAAUGCUCAAAGAGAUGGACGCCCCAAACACCCUGACUUGAAAAUGUUUAAAUGCAGAAGCCACAAAAAAAUGGAGGUGACCUGUCCCUCUCUUGUUCUCUAAGAAAUCAUAGAGGCCUGCUAAGCCACUGUGAAUUGUUGCUCUCUGCAAGCCUGUCUACAGUCCGUCUUCAUAUAAAAUGGGAUCUUCCUGAACAGGUGACUUAACCUUCCUAAACCUUUAUAUCUGUAUGGACAAUGUGUGGAAGGUUGAUCUGCUGUGAGAAUGAGAUAAACAGGUAUACAUAAGGAACAGUGCCCAGUAUGUAAGGUUGUGUGCUCAAUGAGUAGGGGUGGUUAUUACUAAUACUUCUUGGUUCCUUUUGCAUCUAGUUUGUAACUAGUUUUUUGCUUGUUUGUUUCAGAUAUGCUGGUGCAAACUAUGUGUUUUAUUUGUUUUAGGUUUGGAUUUGUUUCUUGAAAUAAAUCCCUAAGGGUAGUGUUAUUAGGUCAAAGACCAUGAGAGGCACAGAGUAUAGAUGCUGAGCACAGGCUCUGGUAACAGACCACUGGAAUCAAUCCCAGCUGGCUGUGUGGUUUGAGGCAGCUUCCUUGACUUUUCUGUGCUGUGAUGGUAUAGAAUUUAAAUCAAUUGUUAUUAUGAAUGCAUAAUGGAUCUUAGUACAUAUGGGCCGGUUACCUUCUAAAACUAUAGUAAUUUGAUUACUAUAUUAACUAUCCCACCAGACUAAGAGCAGACCUUAAUUCUUUGUGUCUAUUUAUUAACUGUUUUUUUACAUUCUUUCUGUUUUAUUCUCAUUUUGUUGUUUCUGUUAUGCAGUUAUUUCUACAUUUCAUUAUAUCUGUGUCUUCUAUAAUACAAUUUUCUGAUGUUUUGAGAGUCAAAAAUUAGAUUCAAAUGGCGUCAUCUAAAUGACUCUAGCUGUGGCAAUUUAGGAGGAGAAUGGAGGAGACAUUUUAGAACAGAGAGCUUUUCUAGUAUCCUUUAUGUAGCACCAGUGAUGAGAAAUUUGAGAAGGAAAGCAGGAACCAGGGUCUCAGAGAACAGUAAGAUCAGCAUUGAGUCUGGGCUGAAAUUAUUCUAGUAGUGGGCUAGGUGAAGAGUGAAAGGAAUGUCAGAAUCAGAAUCAGAACACCUUUUUGUUAAGAGUCUUAUCAUUGUCGAGUGGAUAGAAUAUCUUCUGGCCUCAUGCAAAUCAUUUUCAGAUAGAUUUUUAAGUUUUUGUCCAGUGCACCUCUAUGCUGUUGUGACAGUAAGCCCUCUGUAGAGAAGACACUAAAUAAGGAAAGAAGGUAUGUUUUCUUAUCUGGGUGAUAAAAAGGAACAAACAGAUAGGGGACUAAUUGCCAAGUGGCACAUAUUUACACCACUGUCUCUAGGGUACACUUCUAUUUUUGAGAUGGAUGGAAAUGGAUGUAAAAAUUCCUCUGGUUGGAGGAAUUUUUAGGUUGGAACCCACCUUUCCCAUCCCACAAGAGGUGCAGAAAUAGGCCAGCCUGUGUCUCAGGGUAUCCUGAGAACAAGAUGGAUGUGAAAGAAACAACUGCUGAGCUUCUGUGGAGCUCUCCUCCCACCACGCCUGGCCAGGUAUUAACCACCAGAUUCAGGGUAACCUCUCACUGGUCCCCUUCUUACACAACUGCAAUAUCAUAAGUAGAGGCACAGUUAUCAUUGGUGUAGUUCUCCUUAUUCCCAACCAAGAAAGCAAAGAUCUAAUUUUUACAGGCUCACAAUUUUUACCUUUUAAGGAAAUCAAAGCUAAUAAAGCAUAUCAUUCUUAACAGGUUCUUAACAGGUUUUAAACUCAAACAUACAGUCUGAAUUCUAAAUAUGAUAGCAUGCAUUUUAUUCUCCUUUCCAGGGGUAAUGUAUAAAAUAAUGUUAGGUAUAGUGAAAUUCCCAAACAUAGACUCAUACAUGUUUUACCUCUCCUCAUUUUCUAAGGUUCAAUAAUCACAAAUGAAAUAUAAAGGAAUAUUCUAUACAGUAAGUUGUUAGCUUUUCUCAAUCUUGAUUUUCUCACCUUUACAGUGAAAAUAAUAAUGCCUACAUCUACCCCCAGAGUUAUAAAUGUUCAAGGAGAAAAUGUAUUCAAAAUUGCUUUGCAAGUCAAUUUUGAUGGUGUGUAACUGUAGUCCCAGCUACUUGAGAGGCUGAGGCAGGAGGAUUGUCUCAUUGUAGGAUUUUCAGGCUGCAAUGAACUAUGAUCACAGCAGUAUGCUCCAGCCAGGGUGACACAACAAGAUUCCAUCUCUUUAAAAAAAAAAAAAGGGCUUUGUGAAUGACUGAAGUGCUUAAAAAUACUACAUAUUUUUAUUGGCUUCAAAAUGUAAACCAUAAUUUUAUUCAGUACUAACAGAAACAAGAAAAAGAUAAAUAUUCAGAAACAUAGUAAAGAUGAUAGCAGUCAAAGCAAUUCCCUAAUGUUCACUGAAUAUACAUGAUUAUGUAAAUUAAAUAUUAAUUCUGCUAAGUUUUUGUUUUAUAAUUCAUUAAUUUCUUUUAAAAUCUUUAUUAAUUCCAUUCUUAUAUUUCCCUUAAGUUAAUUUUUCUCUUUUUAUAAUUUCUUAGGUUGAGUGUUUAAUUCAUCUAUUUCCAUUCAUUAUUAUUUAACAAUGAAAGAACUUAAAAAUACACAUUUGGCUUUGAGUAUGAUUUUGGCCAUAUCAAAUGUUUGAUGUGUAGUGUUAUUAUCACUAUUUUCUAAGUAGUCUAUAAUUACUGUUUGAUUUUCCCUUUGAUCUAAAUUGCUUAGGAGAAAGUUUUGACAUUUUCAGGAAGUUGAAUUCUUUUCUUUAUACUUCUGUUAAUAAUUUCUACCUCUAUAUUAUGGUGAUCAGAAAAUAUUGAUGGCAAGUUUUCUAUUUAUUUUUCUUUUUGGAAUCUAUCAAGAUUUUCUUUGUGACUUACUAUAUGAUCAAUUUCUUUAAAUAUUUCUGUGAGUACAUGAAAAGGAAAAAUGCUAUAUUUAUAUUUCCAUAGUGCAGAAUUCUACAUACUGUAUUUACUUAUUAUAUUACAAUAUUAAUUUAAUUAUUUAUCUUCUUUGUCUUAAGAGUCUUCAACUGGAUAAUCCAUGGGUAAACUUCAGAUUUGUGUGUGCCUUUUAAUAGGAAGUGAGUUCAUGGUUAUUUCAGAUUCUCAAAGGAAUCUGUGAUUCUCAAAAUAUUAAGAAACUCUGCUUGACAGAUUAUCUGUCAAGGACUAAGAAAGGAAAGUUAAACUACUGAAUAUAACUUAAAAUUAAUGUUAAAAAGUAUUAGGAAACAAAUAAAAAUUAUAAUUAUUUUAUUAAUAUAUAGGAUUCCAAGAUGUUACAUUGACAUUUACUGUUUAUCCAUUCUGUAAAUAGUGCUAAGUGGCCUUUGUUUAUUUGAUUUCAGGCCUUAGAAUGGGACUCACAAAGAAGUUGGAUUUCUGAAGGUUAGCAGAAAAAGGGGCCAAGUCACUUCAUCCAAAUCUAUCAGCUCUGGAAUAAAUUGGUGGUGUAUAUUCCAUUUUCCCUGUGAGUUUUGCACUGAGUCCUUUGCAAUCUCUCUUGCAUUCUCCCCCUUUUCUCUGAAUACUUCUCAGUUGAUGCUCUGAGAAGGCACCCCAUUUUGGAAAGCUAAUCAUGUCCUUAAGGUGAAUCAGUUGAAAGUCAUGUACUUCCUUAAGAAGGACAGGAAAGUAAAAUGCAUCAAUUUCUAGGAUAGGGAAGAUGACCACUUUAAAUCGACAGCCAAAUUACAGAUGUACCUGGAACAGGAAAUACCAGCUGAUAACGAAGUCAAGCAUUUUAAAAACAGUGUGCAUGAAGAAUGUAAAGCCCACGUUAAGAAAAUUGAAAAGCUCUUAAAAGAAAUGGUGAGAGUUAAAAGACGAAUCCUCACCAUUUGCUUGAUAAAAGUCCCUUAUGCUUAAUCUUCUGAGGUAAUAGAAAUUCGCAGAAUUGACUUAUCCAUUUAGGUACCUAACACAGUGCUCCUAUAUACGUAUGGCUCACAAUACUUCCUGGGCCCAUGAAGAUGCCUUAAUUUUAAUUUCUUUUAAAAGCAGAAGAAAAAUGAAUAACAGUGAAUACAUAAUAAUGAAUCCAGCCUGGACUAUACUUGUUUUAUGUCAUUGCAGUUUUAUGUCAUUGUAAAAUAUAAUUCAUAAAUUUUUUUUAUGAAGGAAGGGACCCAUGAAGGCAAAGUGCCAUGAAACAAUAAUGGGGCCCUGGUAAUAGUUACCGAUUAAACAUGGUGAUUUGUCAGUACUUAAGCAGGUGCCGUGUGAAGGUUAUUUGAUGUGUGUUUAUGCAUGUUUUUGAGGCAUUGUUUAGAACAGGUUAUAUUCUUUGAGCAGAAUGGAAAUCGAGACUGACAUUAUCUUCCUGUGUAUGCUUCUUUCUUUCUAUUUGCUUUACUCUGGCUCUUUUUCUCUGUAACUUCUUUCACUUGCUUGUCUCUUGCACAUGGCCCAAUAGUCCCCAGCCUUCACUCAGCAUCAGAUCUACCACUGAUGUUCAGUCUUUAUGGCUUUGAGCUCAAAUUCUCAUGAAAGCCUCUGCAAUGUCAUCCUCUAGUUCAACAUACAUCCAAUUAGCUGUAGCAAAAUCUUUCCCUGUCUCCCUAAUACCUUUGCAGGCCCUGACCCUUCUGCAAGACGUGGUGGGCAGCUGAUUAAACGUCUUCUACUAUGUAGUUUUAAUAAGAGUCUAUUACACACACAGCAGAAUACAAUAAUAGGAAGAAUAAACUUAGCAACAAAUAGUGGCGUUAUUAUAAUUACGUCAUUAUAAUUUUUCAUGCUCUUGAUUGUCAUCUUGCCACAUACACAACAUGUGGGAAAUGGAAGCCUCUCCCCUGGGAAAUGCCAUUUGCAGAAACAAUAUGCAAUUUAGGCAUCUCUCAGUUAAGAGCCACAUUGCAUAAUCAGGCAGGACUCCUGCCUGGAGACUAAGCUAUUUUCUGAAGAUGAACAGAUACCCUGCUGAGUCCUUUUUGCAGGAUAAGUGACCUAUCUGCGUAAGUAUCCACAUCACAUACAUUUUCUGUCACUUCAGUACUGUAAUAAGCCUUCUUCAUUAAUGAUUAUGCAAAAGGAACGUUUGGGUAGAUGUGACUUUAAUAGUAAGUUGAACUUUAUUUUAUUAUUACACUGUCACAAACCUUUCUACAUUUGUAGAAUUUUAAUGCUCAAUAAGCACAAUAUUGUUUCACUGUAAAGAAACAUGAUGAGUGCAUAACAAUUUGGUAUUACUAAAACAUAUAUUCUCUAUCUCAUAUAAGAUGAAUUCUGAGAAAUAAAAACCUUUAUUUGCCAUACUUUCAAGCUACAUGUUUAACUCCUAUUUAAAUAGAAGAACAGCAAAGCUUCAGGUCUUCCUUGAUCAGAGAAAGCUUUUGAGCAAAAAAUAAAAAUCAAUGACAGUUGUUUCUUAAGAUUUCUUACUAAUUGAGAAAUAGGAAAUGUUCUAUUAGGGAUAUUGUAUCAGCUAGCCUGAAGUUGUGAUGAACAGUAUCUAUUCAGCAAGUUCGGGAGAAAGGAAUUUAUUUAAGGUGUUGUAUGGUUUAUUGUACCAUUGAAAGGCAAAGAAUUGCCCUCUAGGCUGACCUUCUAAGAACAACUUCUAAAACCAAUGUGUGGAACUGGGUCAAAGGAGUGGCUCCUUCUGCAAUGGUCAAGAGACUGAAGAUUCAGGAAGCUGAAAUGCCAACCAUCUGCUCUUGAACCACACUGCUUCUUUGCCAGUGCUACUAUCCACACCAGCAAAAGGGUAUGACGCUCUGUCCCUCUUCCCACGCAGCUUAGUUCUAAAUCAAAAUGUCAUUUGAUUAUACCUGGGGCAAUACUAGCUGCAAGGAAUCUGGGAAGUAUAGUUUUUAGCUUACUGGCCUCUGAAUGCUAAAGGGAGUCAGGAUGAGGCCGAAUGAGUUAAUUUAGAGUAUUUACCAUGGAUAUGUAAUUGGGUAAUACUGAAAGCUUGAAUAACGUUAAAGGUACAAAUCAGAUAUGAUUAUUUUUUGGGGUUUAAUUUUUUUCCCCUUUCGGGACAGGAAUUAUAUUACAUAUAGUCUUUGGUUCAUAAUUUUCUUGUACCAUUGAUUGAUAUAUGGCCACCAAAUUAAUUAAUUAAUAAUAUAAUAAACACCAUGGACCACCCAUCACCAAAAUAAAAGCUAGGCCCUUGACAAUAACUUAUAGCUAAUAACACAUCCCCAUAUAUCCACUACCCUAGGAAACAUCACCCUGAUUUUUUUUUUUUUUUUUUUGAAAGAAGACAUAAGAAAAAUUACCAUUUUUUUUCUAGAGAAAAUGGAUUUAUUUUUUAUUUCAAUAGGUUUUUGGGGAACAGGUGGGCAUGUCCUUUAGUUGUGAUUUCUGAGAUUUUGGUGCACCCAUCACCCAAGCAGGGUACACUGUACCCAAUGUGUAGUCUUUUAUCCCUCGCUCCCCUCCCACCUUUCCCCACAGUCCCCAAAGUUCACUGUAUCAUUCUUAUGCCUUUGCAUCCUCAUGGCUUAGCUCCCACUUAUGAGUGAGAACACACAAUUCCAUCCAGGUUGCUGUGAA